rnacentral:lncRNA from 1 species
UUAUAUAUUCUCCUCACCAUCCACAUUCCGACCAAACACACAAAGAUUCCCUCCACCGAGGACAAUGACGGCGGCGGCGUUUCCAUGGAGCCGCCGGCGGCUACCAUGCUUGGUGAGAGGUUUGGCAACUUUCCCCCUUCUUUCCUCCUUCUCCUUCUCCUUUCUUCAUCCGUGGAGGGCUCAAGAACCCUAAGGGUUCAAAUCGAAUCACAGAAGACUACUAGCUACUCGUUGCUCGAGAGUCGGAUGCCACGAGGCUUGGUGCCUCCUUCUGGUCCGUCUCAUUGCCAUCACUCACUCGGCCCUUACCAACUCCAUAAUGAUCGUCGAGCUAGUACUCACACUGAUGAUGACUAUACCAUGUGCCCGUAACGUUUUUUUUUCGUUUUUUUUAUAUUGUUAAUUAACGACUAUAGAUAGGUGCUACCAAACAUGCAGGUUGGACAGAUUACAAACUGAAUUAGUGGAUUUUUCGAGUCAGGGAUCAAUCAGGACCAUGUUGGUUCGUCGGUAAGGUGUUAACUUUUGAUCACUUUGAAUUUGUAUUAUUAUUUUGUGUAUAUAAAAGUAGGAACACAAUCUUUGAAAGAGAGGAAAUUGUAGUCAACGGAAUUAUAAACUUAUAAUGGAGCUUGGCUUUCCAAGAAAUUUCUCGUACCUAUUUAAUUUUUUCAUGUCUGUUUGAUAUUUCACAUACUAAAACGCAUAUAAAACAUAUAUUUUUAAUAAUUUUUAAUUUAUAUUCAAUUUUAAAAUUUUAAAAUUAUAAUAUUUUAGAAUUGUUAUCGAACAUUUAAUGUACUGCUAUAUUAAAAUAAUAAUGUAUGAAACUCCGAACAUAUUAAUAACGUACUAUACCAUACCAUAUUUUAGUAACUCAAAUAGCCACACCAGCUAGACUACAGUUUUGCCUUGGAGGCAUUCUUUGUUGUAAUUCAUCGGAGAGAGAUUUAUGGACGAAAUUGGUUACAGAAAGCUCAUAUUUGGUCGCUAAAUCUAUUUUAGCAGAGGAACAUAGCAAUCGCAGCUGUUGAUAAUUCCAUAAGAGAGUUUUUGCGACCAAACGCUAAUACUAUGAGCCACACUUUCCAUCAAUUUUCAUACAAAAACCAACAUCAAGUAUCCAAAUCCCCACCUAAAACAAACUAUGAUCACAGUUGACUAACAAUUUCCUAGAGCACCAUGAAUACCUCAUAAUUCAAAACAUUCCCGCAGUUCACUGUAAUAGGACGUGGGAAUGGUGAUCAUUUUAAUGCAUCUACUUGAAACAAUCGUACCUUCUAAAAUGUCUAACAACAGUCGGAUUGGCAGCUUCUUGACCUGGUUCGCUCCGAAACGUGGCAAUUUACAUCGUCGAGCUAUCUCACGAGCGGUAUGAGCAAAUAUUCAGCGUAAAACAGCUGCGAAAGACAUCGAAACAGGAAUAUGAUCAGUGUCGAUUCCUUUACUGUAUGAAUCCAGACAGAAACAGUAUGUUCUGUUUACC